ACCACCACCCCCUCGGGUUUGCAUUCACGAUUCGAUGUUUUCUGAGUAAUACUAAAUUAACUCGGUGGUGAUAUGAAAAGGGGAGUUGUAAAUCUACCUCUCUCUCGGCAACAGAUGGCCCGUCCUGCUCUGGGACGAUUGAUGAAAAUAGUAGAGUGGCAGGAUAGAAGGGAGGUCCGGUUACUUCAAUCCAGAAUGUUAUAGUCGGCGUUUCUCUCUGUGGGUCCGGUUACUGCUGCUAGUCGUGGAGAAAUCGUAAAUCUAGUGGCUGAUGUGACGUCAGAAUGUCCUAGACAAAUGGAUUAGAAAUUGCAGAAAGCUACUUAAAGUCAUCCUUUAGUAUUACGAGGCAAUUCCCACAUCCUCCAUCCCUAGCACAAGGUAUCUCGUUACUACAGUAACAUAAUGGGACUGUGUUAUCCAACAACCGUUCACUGUUUCACGGAUACGAUAUCAAAUUCCAUUUGAAAUUCCCAUUAAUUUUCUUCACAAAUUUUUAUUAAUUCAUCUGAACAUCCCGAAAACAGUUAGGACCAAAUUAAAAAAGAAAGAAAAAAAAAGGGCACCACCCGCUGUCAGAAAAGGAAGGUGCGCACUGGCUCAAAAGUUAAUCAUAGUGGCAAAAGUUUCGACUCACUUCACUCGUACAGAUUGACAGGCUGCUGGCCCGCUUUACGGAUCUUCCAGAAAAAAUAGAGGAAGAGAAGAAGAAAAAAGAAGGAUCUGGAAGGGCUCCAAAUCGAAAGUUUUGCUGAUUGGAUUUAGGUAGAA
rnacentral:lncRNA from 1 species